GCUGGGCUGUUGCUGGCUCUUAGGAGCAUGUGCACGCUUGGGUACCAUCUUUAACCACCUGUGCACUUUUUGUAGGCCUGGAUAAUUAACUUUCGAAUUCCCUUUCGGUUUGAGGAAUUGCUGGCUGCAAAGCUUAGCUUUCCUUGAAUAUUAUCCAGGUUCUAUGUCUUACAUAUACACCAUAUGAAUGUUCAGAAUGUUUAUUAUAUAGGACAUUGUGCCUGUAAAACUUAAUACAACUUUCAACAACGGAUCUCUUGGCUCUCGCAUCGAUGAAGAACGCAGCGAAAUGCGAUAAGUAAUGUGAAUUGCAGAAUUCAGUGAAUCAUCGAAUCUUUGAACGCACCUUGCGCUCCUUGGUAUUCCGAGGAGCAUGCCUGUUUGAGUGUCAUUAAAUUCUCAACCUUUUCAGCUUUUGUUAGCUGGUCAAGGCUUGGAUUAUGGGAGUUUGCAGGCUUUCUAAAGAAAGUCGGCUCUUCUUAAAUGUAUUAGCGAAAACUGUUGCUUGACCAUCUCUGGUGUGAUAAUUAUCUACGCCAUUGAGAAAAUAGUAACACUUUGCUUAUAAUUGUCCUUUUUGUUGGGAACAGUUAAUUUAACAAUUGGACCUCAAAUCAGGAAGAACUACCCGCUAAACUUAACAAUAUCAUAAAACCGAAGAAA
rnacentral:rRNA from 1 species